rnacentral:sRNA from 1 species
GUCACUAACCCAGGGCUAAAGCCACUGGGCUUGCAAGAGGGGAAUUCACCACCUCCCCAAAUCAAGUUAAACAAGUGUCUAGCUAAUUAAACUGAAUGGCCUGAGUGUGGUAACUCGAAACACGUUAAGAAUACUUCCCUAGUUUUUAACCUCUGUGGUAGUCAGUAGCGAAGGGAUAUAAAUACCUAGUAAUAGG